rnacentral:lncRNA from 1 species
CGAUAGUAGUUCUCUAAAACCUAAUCAUUACAGGAAAUGAAGAUGGCUAAAAGAGAUGGAAUAGAGAAAUCUUGUUAUUCAUGUGAGUGCAAAGAUAGAACAUUAUAGAAACUAUUGAGUUAAAUCAAUAGAACAUUAUAGAAACUAUUGAGUUAAAUCAAUCUUACAACUUCAUCCACAAACUAUGACCAUGCAAAAUCCAUUGAAAAACCUUACAUCACCAUUUAACUAAAAUAGUGUACUUGAUUCUCAAAAACUCUG